rnacentral:lncRNA from 1 species
AUACAAAGUCUUGGCUUAUACUGCAAAGUUUGGGAUCCACAGUCUACAAAACCCCACAGCUCCUGAGAAUUCUCUCGCCUGCCUUCGGCCCUUAGGCUCUGGUAGAUUGCAAAUAACAUGCUUUCUUUCUGUUCCCGGGUGGCUUCGGACCCCUGUCGGAUCGGAAAUCCCAAGUAAGGUACCUGCCCUGGGCAGAUUUGAGCUUUCUUCUUGGACACCUAAUACCCACAGUCCUCCAGGCUGAGGUAGAUUGCAAAUGACCUGCUUUCUUUCUGUUCCUGGGUGCCUUCGGACCCCUGUCGGAUAGUAAAUCCCAAGUAAGGUACCUGCCGUCAGCAGAUUUGAGCUUUCUUCUUGGACACCUAAUACCCACAGUCCUCCAGGCUCCAGUAGAUUGCAAAUGACCUGCUUACUUUCUGUUCCCGGGCUGCGUUCUGACACCUGUCGGAUAGUAAAUCCCAAGUAAGGUACCAGCCGUCGGCAGAUUUGAGCUUUCUUCUUGGACACCUAUACCCACAGUCCUCCAGGAUAACUUCAGGAAGUGGGUAUUAAUUCUCACUGUAUAAGUGAAGACAUUAAGCACCAGAGUUUAAGUAGCUUGAUCCACUGAAAGAGAUUCAACUGUGUGGAACCUAUGCCGCGGAGAAUUGCUUUCUGCCAUUGUUAUUGUCCAGCAGUUGCCGAAUAGCUCUGACCUGAGCAAAGCAGUGAAACGCGGUGCUGUUGAGUGGGUUGCCACUGCACCUUUUUCAACUACUCUAGUCUUGUGGAGAAAACACCCCUUCUAAAUUUUUUCUUCAUUGAAUACUCUCCCUCAGCUCCAGGGUACCAUAUAGAGUUUUCUUGUAUUUUAGAGUUACUGUUUUAUCAAAGUGUACCAGUCUUUUGUAUUACAUUUCUCCUGUCUAAAUCAACUGUGUGGUUUCUACUCAUUAUGGAUAUAGAUUGACACAAACUCAAUAAAUAUUUUUGAAUGAAUAA